rnacentral:rRNA from 1 species
AGUGAACGCUGGCGGUAGGCCUAACACAUGCAAGUCGAACGACAGCACAGUAAGAGCUUGCUCUUACGGGUGGCGAGUGGCGGACGGGUGAGGAAUACAUCGGAAUCUACUUUUUCGUGGGGGAUAACGUAGGUAAACUUACGCUAAUACCGCAUACGACCUACGGGUGAAAGCAGUGGAUCUUCGUACCUUGCGCGAUUGAAUGAGCCGAUGUCGGAUUAGCUAGUUGGCGGGGUAAAGGCCCACCAAGGCGACGAUCCGUAGCUGGUCUGAGAGGAUGAUCGGCCACACUGGAAGUGAGACACGGUCCAGACUCCUACGGGAGGCAGCAGUGGGGAAUAUUGGACAAUGGGCGCAAGCCUGAUCCAGCCAUACCGCGUGGGUGAAGAAGGCCUUCGGGUUGUAAAGCCCUUUUGUUGGGAAAGAAAAGCAGCAGGUUAAUACCCCGCUGUUAUGACGGUACCCAAAGAAUAAGCACCGGCUAACUUCGUG